UGGGGAAUAUUGGACAAUGGGGGGAACCCUGAUCCAGCAAUGCCGCGUGUGUGAAGAAGGCCUGAGGGUUGUAAAGCACUUUCAGAGGGGAGGAGGACUAUUAGGUUAAGAGCUAGAUAGUUGGACGUUACCCUCAGAAGCAGCACCGGCUAACCCCGUGCCAGCAGCCGCGGUGAUACGAAGGGAGCUAGCGUUGUUCGGAAUCACUGGGCGUAAAGCGCGCGUAGGCGGCUUAACAAGUCAGAGGUGAAAGCCUGGAGCUCAACUCCAGAACUGCCUUUGAAACUGUUAAGCUUGAGUGUCGGAGGGGAUAGCGGAAUUUCUAAUGUAGAGGUGAAAUUCGUAGAUAUUAGAAGGAACACCGGUGGCGAAGGCGGCUAUCUGGACGACAACUGACGCUGAGGCGCGAAAGCGUGGGGAUCAAACAGGAUUAGAUACCCAAGUAGUCCCUGAGCGGGCUGGCAAGGCGCAU
rnacentral:rRNA from 1 species